GACGAACGCUGGCGGCGUGCUUAACACAUGCAAGUCGAACGGAAAGGCCUAGCUUGCUGGGUACUCGAGUGGCGAACGGGUGAGUAACACGUGGGUGAUCUGCCCCUGACUUUGGGAUAAGCCUGGGAAACUGGGUCUAAUACCGGAUAUUCAUUUUUCCUCGCAUGGGGAUUUGUGGAAAGCUUUUGCGGUUGGGGAUGGGCCCGCGGCCUAUCAGCUUGUUGGUGGGGUAAUGGCCUACCAAGGCGACGACGGGUAGCCGACCUGAGAGGGGGAUCGGCCACACUGGGACUGAGACACGGCCCAGACUCCUACGGGAGGCAGCAGUGGGGAAUAUUGCACAAUGGGCGCAAGCCUGAUGCAGCGACGCCGCGUGAGGGAUGACGGCCUUCGGGUUGUAAACCUCUUUCAGCUCAGACGAAGCGCAAGUGACGGUAGGAGCAGAAGAAGCACCGGCCAACUACGUG
rnacentral:rRNA from 1 species